rfam:Zootermopsis nevadensis contig9554, whole genome shotgun sequence.
GCCAAGGUGGUCUAGCGGUUAGAACGCUGGCCUUGUAAUCCUGGGGUCUCGGGUUCGAUUCCCGGCGGUGCCC